AAAGAAAGGAUUCUUUGGGUUUUCCUCCAAUCAUAAAUCCACGACCAUCACUGCCGAUUCUAUGCCUACUGAG